UUAGAGGAAGGAGAAGUCGU
rnacentral:siRNA from 1 species